rnacentral:rRNA from 1 species
CAAGCGCUACGUCUAGCUCGCCGCCGCGAGGCUACCCUGGCCCUCGUCCUUCUGCCGCCGCUCGUGUAUUUUCCGCGCCCGCCGUGUGACGGGCCGGCUCUCCUCCUCGUCCUCCCCUCCGCGACUCCGCCCCGGUAUUCGCAGCCUGCGCGAGCGAGCGGGCGUUAGUUGCGCCUGCGUCGCCGGUAGGUACCGCCGAGCCCAGCUACGUCCUCCUGCUCCCCUCCUCGAGCACUCCCGGCCGUGGCCAUUACCUCGCCUCCGCCCACCUAGACCGCUAAGGCGUCCCCGACGCCGCUGCUCGCCGAGGCACACGCCGCUGGACGCCCCAAGUUCGCUGCCGACGGUACUUCCAACCCGCCGCCGAGAGAACAUCUCUUCCUUAUCUUCCUCUCCUUCUUCCUUAUCUUCCUCUCCUUCUUCCUUAUCUUCCUCUCCUUCUUCCGUCCAGUGAGUUUCUCGUAAGUAGAGGACGGGGGAGAGAGGAGACCGUACCGUACUACACGCGCCGACCUACACACUACACGCAGGUACAAGUACACUAGAAGUUCUGUCGUCCCUGGUUAACGUGGGAACGAAAACAAAGACAGGACACUUGGUCAGAUUCUACCGGAGAUUCUUCGUGAACCGACCAUGUCUCUUUAAAAGACAUCAGAAGUUUAUUUUGUAGGAUUAGAAGAUACUACACCAAAAAGCUCGUCCUUCCCCUCCACUACACGCGGUCAACAAAUUCUCGAGUUUAUCCUACACAUGACCUUGGAGUUCCUUUUACUUUUCUUCUCAUCCUCGUCCUCGACCUCUGCGUCGGCGUGUUCCAGCUUGGCCGGUGUAUCUAGGAAAAUAAGACGUUGAUACUGUUGAGACCGUUCUGGAAACAACUACACCGACGGAACUCCUUCGUACGAGUACAUGUACCGCUCUCCCCUACAUACAAAAAGUCAUCGGGCCGAUAACCUUCCGAAAAAUAUUUCCUGGAAAGAGACAAACCGUAUCUAAUUACUAAAACCAUGUAGGUAGGUAGGUUAGGUCUACGGCGACUACUUGUUUAUCACUAGGUCAAACCAGCCCAAUCUAUAUUCAAACCAGAGGCGAGCUCGAGGACAACAACGAACCUAAAAGGAAAAGGGGAGAGUAGGUUGGCGUCCCCGGACAAUAAAAAAAGUAGAUCUACUACAACACCAGCGGGCCGGCUAGUUUAGGAGCGCGUGUGUGUUGUUGAGUUGAGGUGCCAGACGUGCGUCGUCGAGUUGUGGUGCUUACGGAUUUCAACUUCGAGUGUACGACCUCACAAAUACGUGUAGACUUCAACCGUGUAAGUCAAGACGUAUAUAGCUUGUCGGAAGUUUUGAAGACUUUCGUAUCUCGACCUCUUGGUAGGAGAUCUGAGAGGACAUAGGGGUGUCUAAUAAAACGAAGGUUUGAAGACUAUUUGUGUCGUCGAAGGUUACGUUAAAGUGAACGGUCUACAACAAUAAGUCCUCCUCCUAAAGGCAUCAUAGGGACCCGACCUUAUCUUAAGGAACUAAACUGCAGUUCGUAACCGUUGACGUCUUAUGUAACAGAGCUCCUAAUAUGCUAAUAAUUUCGUGUAUGUAGCUUCAAAAUUAUAUCCGUCCAACGCACGUGUGCGUGGAGAAACGGGUCCACAUGAACUACUGUGUAUACGGGAAACAUACCGACCAUUUGUCUUCCACCAGUGCAACGACGUAAACUAACAACGCAUGUUCCUACUCUGACUCAUAUUACACGAACGUGUACGGUAGUUGAGUGAUGAGAAGGAUAAGAUUAAUUAAAAACAACAAGGAUUUGAACUAGAACAAGAUUACUAGUAAAUAGUACGUCAGAGAAGAUCGAAAAGUCUUUAGGCAGGGAACGUUCACUCCACCGACCCUACGGUUCUCACCCCUCCCAGUGGACUUAUGUGACAAUUCUCCACAUUUCCUUCACUUCACACUUGGGUCACAAAGAAAACUGAUGAGGUUCAGACUUUACUUAAGGUACUCCUCCUUUUCCGACUUAACUCACGAACUUUAUUUCCUCCUCGUAGGAUUCUUCGUCAGUCCAACCUCUUUUUCUAGUCUCAAAGUAGACAACACUUUCACCUUCCAUUAAUCUGCAGUCUUCUAAUGUUCCUUUCUAUUUCGCCUAUUUAAAUGUGCCUUAGUAUGGUGUACUCGAGUGUAGUGCCGGCAACAGGGUGCUGUGUCCAAGAACGGUUGGUACUAAGUAUCCUAUCCUUCACCACGAGAGAGGACCACGUUGCGUGCCCGUAAACACGAUCAUAGUGUUUUGUUGACUCUUGUCUGUUUGUCCGUUAACAUUGUAACAUACCCGUUCAGGUCGUGCCUUGAUCUAAUGUCCAGUUUUAGUUUCCUUGUAGUGAAGAGAGAAAAUUUGGAAUAUUCCACGUUACUAUGCGAUUCUGUUAACACAUAUUUUAACUUUUCUCAUUAUCUGUAACCGACGUUUGGUACGUCAAGUUCCGAGUUCAGUCUUAUUCAUCAUCAAUUAUCCGUACUCCUAAUUCCUGAAUGUUAUCGCCGAAACUGACCACAUCAGUACGGGAAGAAGAACGACCACACUGUUAGGAACUUCUAAAGGUGUCGUAAACCAAGUCCAUGAAAAACCAGGAACGCCCGAAAGGAGAUGUAAACCUUGUUUAGUUAUAUCUAGACUAUUAUACCAUGUCGCUUUUCUCACUUUGUCGUCGAUUAAUGUUCUCGAAGCGUCACACGUUAUAUCGAUGCUCUAGGACAGCAGACAACCUUAAAGUGAAAGCAUGCCAACCGGAACAAGAAACUUGUCAAGUGGAUGUUCUUCUAUCUAAACACACCGUGUACACAUUUAUACUGAAGUUGUACACUAAACUAGUGUAUAUAUUACAUGGACUAUGAAGCCUAGCCUG